UACAGGGGGUGCAAACGUUGCUUGGAAUCAUUGGGCGUAAAGCGCACGUAGGCGGUUCGUUAUGUCGGAUGUGAAAGCCCUUGGCUUAACCGAGGAAGUGCAUCCGAAACUGGCGAGCUAGAGUACGAAAGAGGAUCGCGGAAUUCCCGGUGUAGAGGUGAAAUUCGUAGAUAUCGGGAGGAACACCGGUGGCGAAGGCGGCGACCUGGGACAAUACUGACGCUGAGGUGCGAAAGCGUGGGGAGCAAACAGG
rnacentral:rRNA from 1 species